AGGAAAUUAGUUGGAAGAAAGAUUGAACUAUUUUUUGAAAAGAGCCUCAAGCCUUUUAUGUUGCUUCUAUCUUCGUCCAUGAUCUUGAUCUACCACGUAACUGCGAGGAAAUGGUAAUAGCUUAUAGUUAUAGCCUAAUCCCAAACUUCAAUCGGUAAAAUCCAAGUCCUUGUAAAGCUGAUCCGUCCCUUGCGCGAGAUCGUAACGUGGAUCCCACUGUAUGCGUGUUUCAUGGCGUCCCUGUCAGGACCAUUUAUGAUCAACCUCCGAAGAAGAAGACCUUGACAGCAGGCACCCGCUACGUGGGCCAUCGGUUUCCAGCCCACCUCAAAAACGCAUCGCAGGUGUUCGACGAAAUGUCACAUUGAAUCCCAUGAUCGAUUUCAACCGUAUCAGGUAGGCUACAGCUUCUGGAAGAGAGCGAGAGAGAGAGAGAGAGAUAGAAGAUGUGGAGGCGAGUUGCUUCAGUCUCUCAUUUGACGUCUGCCCAUAAGUCCAUUUUUCGUAAGGAUGUGUGUAAGUCGAAGUUUUGGGAAGCAUUUACCACUGAAAUACCCAGAAUGGGAAAAGGUGGAACUUUUACAAAAGAUGAAGCACCAUUCGUCACUUUUGUGUUAGGUGGUCCUGGAAGUGGUAAAGGUACACAAUGUAUGAAGAUUGUUGAACACUUUGGAUUUACACAUUUGAGUGCAGGAGAUCUAUUAAGGAGGGAAAUAGCUUCUAAUAGUGCAGAUGGUACCAUGAUUCUCAACACAAUUAAAGAAGGAAGAAUAGUUCCUUCAGAAUUGACUGUCAAACUUGUCCAAAAGGAAAUGGAAUCAAGUGACAACUAUAAGUUUCUUAUUGAUGGGUUCCCACGGAGCGAGGAUAACCGGAUAGCAUUUGAAAAAAUUAUUGGGGCAGAACCAGACGUUGUACUUUUCUUUGACUGUCCAGAAGAUGAAAUGGUGAAGCGGGUGCUUAAUCGUAAUGAGGGAAGAGUUGAUGACAACAUAGACACAAUCAAGAAAAGGCUAAAAGUCUUUGCGGCAUUAAAUCUUCCUGUAGUCAAAUACUAUAUGGAGAAAGGAAAGCUAUACAAGAUAAAUGCAGUUGGAUCAGUGGAUGAAAUAUACAAACAAGUUUAUCCAGUAUUUGCAUCAUUUGAUUUGAGCCGCAGAAAACUUGAAACUUGAAAGUGUUGGUUAAUUGUCUUACAUAGAACAAGGAGCGCAGAAAGAUCUCGGUUUAUGCUUCGAACGAACUCUUCGUUUCGGUAGAAGAUCAUUGUGAGUUUAAUUUUCCCAAUUACAGGCUUUUCAAGAAUGUAACAUAACUGAACAUCAAGUGCAGACUUGUGAAUUUCUUACAGGUCCAAAAGUGAUUUCAUUUCUUUUUUGAAGAGGAAAAGGAAACCUGUUGGCUGCAUAUUCUUGACCUGAACAGGUAAAAGGAGGCUGAGACUUGAGAGAGGCAUGGUUAUUCAUGUGCUAUGCAGAGAAGAGGGGAAACAGAAAGUAAAGAAAGAAAAUGUCAUUAUAAAUUCUAMGGUGGGAGACCCUUAUUUGAACCCAUAUUAAAAUGUUCUUUUUUUUAAAGUUAAAA